rnacentral:rRNA from 1 species
AUUGAACGCUGGCGGCACGCCUAACACAUGCAAGUCGAGCGGUAACAUGAUCUGUAGCAAUACAGAUUGAUGACGAGCGGCGGACGGGUGAGUAACACGUAGGAACCUGCCCAGGAGCGGGGGAUAACCAAUGGAAACGUUGGCUAAUACCGCAUAUAUUCGAGAGAAGAAAGCUGCCGCAAGGUGGCACGCUUGGAGGGGCCUGCGUCCGAGUAGCUAGUUGGUGAGGUAAUGGCUCACAAAGGCGAUGAUCGGUAACUGGUCUGAGAGGACGACCAGUCACACUGGGACUGAGACACGGCCCAGACUCCUACGGGAGGCAGCAGUGGGGAAUCUUGGACAAUGGGGGCAACCCUGAUCCAGCGAUGCCGCGUGAGUGAAGAAGGCCCUCGGGUCGUAAAGCUCUUUAGGCUGGGAAGAAGGUUAUGGUAGGAAAUGACUGUAAUUUGACUGUACCAGCAGAAUAAGCACCGGCAAACUCUGUGCCAGCCGCCGCAGUAA